rnacentral:rRNA from 1 species
GAUGAACGCUGGCGGCGUGCCUAAUACAUGCAAGUCGAACGAGGCCCUUUGUAUUCGUACGAAGGUGUCCUAGUGGCGAACGGGUGAGUAACGCGUUGGUGACCUGCCCCGAAGCUUGGGAUAACCCUACGAAAGUGGGGCUAAUACCAAAUGUGGUCAUCGGAUUUAGAAACCGAUGUCUAAAGGAUUUAUUCGCUUCGGGAGGGGCCUGCGUCCCAUCAGCUAGUUGGUAGGGUAACGGCCUACCAAGGCUACGACGGGUAGGGGACCUCAGAGGGUGGCCCCCCACAAUGGAACUGAAACACGGUCCAUACACCUACGGGUGGCAGCAGUGGGGAACAUUGCACAAUGGGCGAAAGCCUGAUGCAGCAACGCCGCGUGUGCGAAGAAGGCCUUCGGGUCGUAAAGCACUUUUCUGGGAGAUGAGAAAGGACAGUAUCCCAGGAAUAAGUCUCGGCUAACUACGUGCCAGCAGCCGCGGUAAAACGUAGGAGGCGAGCGUUAUCCGGAUUUACUGGGCGUAAAGCGCGUGUAGGCGGUUUGGUAAGUUGGGCGUGAAAGCUCCCGGCUCAACUGGGAGAGGUCGUCCAAGACUACCA